ACUCCUACGGGAGGGCAGCAGUGGGAAUAUUGCACAAUGGGCGCAAGCCUGAUGCAGCCAUGCCGCGUGUGUGAAGAAGGCCUUCGGGUUGUAAAGCACUUUCAGUCGUGAGGAAGGUGGAGUCUUAAUAGCGCUCAUUUUGACGUUAGCUGCAGAAGAAGCACCGGCUAACUCCGUGCCAGCAGCCGCGGUAAUACGGAGGGUGCGAGCGUUAAUCGGAAUUACUGGGCGUAAAGCGCAUGCAGGUGGUUUGUUAAGUCAGAUGUGAAAGCCC
rnacentral:rRNA from 1 species